UGCAGUCGACGCGAAAGUCCCGCAAGGGAUCAGUAGAGUGGCAAACGGGUGAGUAACGCGUGGGUGACCUGCCUUCGAGCGGGGGAUAACGUUUCGAAAGGGACGCUAAUACCGCAUAACAUCCUGCUUUUUAAGAAGUGGAGAUCAAAGCCUGGGACCGCAAGGCCAGGCACUCGAAGAGGGGCCCGCGUCCGAUUAGCUAGUUGGUGGGGUAAUGGCUCACCAAGGCUCCGAUCGGUAUCCGGCCUGAGAGGGCGGACGGACACACUGGGACUGAGACACGGCCCAGACUCCUACGGGAGGCAGCAGUGGGGAAUUGUUCGCAAUGGGCGCAAGCCUGACGACGCAACGCCGCGUGGAGGAUGAAGAUCUUCGGGUCGUAAACUCCUUUCGAUCGAGACGAACGGCUUCCGGGUAACAUCCGGGAGAGUGACGGUACCGAGAGAAGAAGCCCCGGCUAACUCCGUGCCAGCAGCCGCGGUAAUACGGGGGGGGCAAGCGUUGUUCGGAAUUACUGGGCGUAAAGGGCUCGUAGGUGGCCAACUAAGUCAGACGUGAAAUCCCUCGGCUUAACCGGGGAACUGCGUCUGAUACUGGAUGGCUUGAGUUUGGGAGAGGGACGCGGAAUUCCAGGUGUAGCGGUGAAAUGCGUAGAUAUCUGGAGGAACACCGGUGGCGAAGGCGGCGUCCUGGACCAACACUGACACUGAUGAGCGAAAGCCAGGGGAGCAAACGGGAUUAGAUACCCCGGUAGUCCUGGCCCUAAACGAUGAAUGCUUGGUGUGGCGGGUAUCGAUCCCUGCCGUGCCGAAGCUAACGCAUUAAGCAUUCCGCCUGGGGAGUACG
rnacentral:rRNA from 1 species